rnacentral:rRNA from 1 species
UUGACGGGGCCCGCACAAGCGGUGGAGUAUGUGGUUUAAUUCGAUGAUACACGAAGAACCUUACCAAGGUUUGACAUGCAAGUGGUAGUGAACUGAAAAGGGAACGACCCUUCGGGGAGCUUGCACAGGUGCUGCAUGGCUGUCGUCAGCUCGUGUCGUGAGAUGUUCGGUUAAGUCCGCUAACGAGCGCAACCCUCACUGUGUGUUAUACGUGUCACACGGGACCGCCGGUUUUAAGCCGGAGGAAGGUGGGAUGACGUCAAGUCAGCAUGGCCUUUAUAUCUUGGGCCACACACACGCUACAAUGGCCAGUACAAUGGGAUGCCAAGCCGCAAGGCGGAGCCAACCCUAAAAGCUGGUCUCAGUUCGGAUUGGAGUCUGCAACUCGACUCCAUGAAGUUGGAAUCGCUAGUAAUGGCAGGUCAGCAUACUGCCGUGAAUACGUUCCCGGGCCUU